AUACAUGCAGUAGAACGCUGAAGAGAGGAGCUUGCUCUUCUUGGAUGAGUUGCGAACGGGUGAGUAACGCGUAGGUAACCUGCCUUGUAGCGGGGGAUAACUAUUGGAAACGAUAGCUAAUACCGCAUAACAAUGGAUGACACAUGUCAUUUAUUUGAAAGGGGCAAUUGCUCCACUACAAGAUGGACCUGCGUUGUAUUAGCUAGUAGGUGAGGUAAUGGCUCACCUAGGCGACGAUACAUAGCCGACCUGAGAGGGUGAUCGGCCACACUGGGACUGAGACACGGCCCAGACUCCUACGGGAGGCAGCAGUAGGGAAUCUUCGGCAAUGGGGGCAACCCUGACCGAGCAACGCCGCGUGAGUGAAGAAGGUUUUCGGAUCGUAAAGCUCUGUUGUAAGUCAAGAACGGGUGUGAGAGUGGAAAGUUCACACUGUGACGGUAGCUUACCAGAAAGGGACGGCUAACUACGUGCCAGCAGCCGCGGUAAUACGUAGGUCCCGAGCGUUGUCCGGAUUUAUUGGGCGUAAAGCGAGCGCAGGCGGUUUGAUAAGUCUGAAGUUAAAGGCUGUGGCUCAACCAUAGUUCGCUUUGGAAACUGUCAAACUUGAGUGCAGAAGGGGAGAGUGGAAUUCCAUGUGUAGCGGUGAAAUGCGUAGAUAUAUGGAGGAACACCGGUGGCGAAAGCGGCUCUCUGGUCUGUAACUGACGCUGAGGCUCGAAAGCGUGGGGAGCGAACAGGAUUAGAUACCCUGGUAGUCCACGCCGUAAACGAUGAGUGCUAGGUGUUGGAUCCUUUCCGGGAUUCAGUGCCGCAGCUAACGCAUUAAGCACUCCGCCUGGGGAGUACGACCGCAAGGUUGAAACUCAAAGGAAUUGACGGGGGCCCGCACAAGCGGUGGAGCAUGUGGUUUAAUUCGAAGCAACGCGAAGAACCUUACCAGGUCUUGACAUCCCGAUGCUAUUUCUAGAGAUAGAAAGUUACUUCGGUACAUCGGUGACAGGUGGUGCAUGGUUGUCGUCAGCUCGUGUCGUGAGAUGUUGGGUUAAGUCCCGCAACGAGCGCAACCCCUAUUGUUAGUUGCCAUCAUUCAGUUGGGCACUCUAGCGAGACUGCCGGUAAUAAACCGGAGGAAGGUGGGGAUGACGUCAAAUCAUCAUGCCCCUUAUGACCUGGGCUACACACGUGCUACAAUGGUUGGUACAACGAGUUGCGAGUCGGUGACGGCGAGCUAAUCUCUUAAAGCCAAUCUCAGUUCGGAUUGUAGGCUGCAACUCGCCUACAUGAAGUCGGAAUCGCUAGUAAUCGCGGAUCAGCACGCCGCGGUGAAUACGUUCCCGGGCCUUGUACACACCGCCCGUCACACCACGAGAGUUUGUAACACCCGAAGUCGGUGAGGUAACCUUUUGGAGCCAGCCGCCUAAGGUGGGACAGAUGAUGGGGUGAAGUCGUAAC
rnacentral:rRNA from 1 species